UACGUAGGGUGCGAGCGUUAAUCGGAAUUACUGGGCGUAAAGCGUGCGCAGGCGGUUUUGUAAGCCAGAUGUGAAAUCCCCGGGCUUAACCUGGGAAUGGCAUUUGGCACUGCAAGGCUGGAGUGUGGCAGAGGAGACUGGAAUUCCUGGUGUAGCAGUGAAAUGCGUAGAUAUCAGGAGGAAUACCGAUGGCGAAGGCAGGUCUCUGGGCUGACACUGACGCUCAUGCACGAAAGCGUGGGGAGCAAACAGG
rnacentral:rRNA from 1 species